UACGAACUGUGCAAACGUUAUUCGGAUUCACUGGGCUUAAAGGGUGCGUAGGCGGCCAUGUAAGUAGGGUGUGAAAUCCCCCGGCUUAACCGGGGAACUGCGCCCUAAACUGUGUGGCUUGAGUGAGAUAGGGGUGUGUGGAACUUCAGGUGGAGCGGUGAAAUGUGUUGAUAUCGGAAGGAACGCCGGUGGCGAAAGCGACACACUGGGUCUCAACUGACGCUGAGGCACGAAAGCCAGGGGAGCGAACGGG
rnacentral:rRNA from 1 species